UACGAAGGGGGCUAGCGUUGCUCGGAAUCACUGGGCGUAAAGCGCACGUAGGCGGACUUUUAAGUCGGAGGUGAAAUCCUGGAGCUCAACUCCAGAACUGCCUUCGAUACUGAGAGUCUUCGAGUUCGGGAGAGGUGAGUGGAACUGCGAGUGUAGAGGUGAAAUUCGUAGAUAUUCGCAAGAACACCAGUGGCGAAGGCGGCUCACUGGCCCGAUACUGACGCUGAGGUGCGAAAGCGUGGGGAGCAAACAGGG
rnacentral:rRNA from 1 species